rnacentral:snoRNA from 1 species
AUUCCCCAGAUUCCUUACGCACCAGAUCUAAACACGGAUCUGAGUGGUUAUAAAAGAAGGAAAAGUAAAAUUGAAAUUGACUUCAAUCCUUUUGUGAUACAUGAGCUAGUUUCAAACAACU